CCUACGGGUGGCAGCAGUGGGGAAUAUUGGACAAUGGGCGAAAGCCUGAUCCAGCCAUGCCGCGUGUGUGAAGAAGGCCUUCGGGUUGUAAAGCACUUUCAGUGGGGAAGAAAGCCUUGGGGCUAAUACCCUCGAGGAAGGACAUCACCCACAGAAGAAGCACCGGCUAACUCCGUGCCAGCAGCCGCGGUAAUACGGAGGGUGCGAGCGUUAAUCGGAAUUACUGGGCGUAAAGCGCGCGUAGGCGGUCUGAUAAGCCGGUUGUGAAAGCCCCGGGCUCAACCUGGGAACGGCAUCCGGAACUGUCAGGCUAGAGUGCAGGUGAGGAAGGUAGAAUUCCCGGUGUAGCGGUGAAAUGCGUAGAGAUCGGGAGGAAUACCAGUGGCGAAGGCGGCCUUCUGGACUGACACUGACGCUGAGGUGCGAAAGCGUGGGUAGCAAACAGGAUUAGAUACCCUGGUAGUC
rnacentral:rRNA from 1 species